rnacentral:rRNA from 1 species
AUUGAACGCUGGCGGCAGGCCUAACACAUGCAAGUCGAACGAGUGGCGGACGGGUGAGUAAUGUCUGGGAAACUGCCCGAUGGAGGGGGAUAACUACUGGAAACGGUAGCUAAUACCGCAUACCCUCGGAUGUGCCCAGAUGGGAUUCGCUAGUCGGGGGGGUAACGGCUCACCAAGCCGACGAUCUCUAGCUGGUCUGAGAGGAUGACCAGCAAGCCUGGGACUGAGACACGGCCCAGACUCCUACGUGAGGCAGCAGUGGGGAAUAUUGCGCAAUGGGGGCAACCCUGACGCAGCCAGGCCGCGUGAAUGAAGAAGGCCUUCGGGUUGUAAAGUUCUUUCGGUAGCGAGGCGUUAACUACAGAAGAAGCACCGGCUAACUCCGUGCCAGCAGCCGCGGUAAUAG